rnacentral:rRNA from 1 species
GAUGAACGCUGGCGGCGUGCCUAAUACAUGCAAGUCGAGCGAACAGAUAAGGAGCUUGCUCCUUUGACGUUAGCGGCGGACGGGUGAGUAACACGUGGGUAACCUACCUAUAAGACUGGGAUAACUUCGGGAAACCGGAGCUAACACCGGAUAAUAUUUCGAACCGCAUGGUUCGAUAGUGAAAGAUGGUUUUGCUAUCACUUAUAGAUGGACCCGCGCCGUAUUAGCUAGUUGGUAAGGUAACGGCUUACCAAGGCGACGAUACGUAGCCGACCUGAGAGGGUGAUCGGCCAAACUGGAACUGAGACACGGUCCAAGCUCCUACGGGAGGCAGCAGUAGGGAAUCUUCCGCAAUGGGCGAAAGCCUGACGGAGCAACGCCGCGUGAGUGAUGAAGGUCUUCGGAGCGUAAAACUCUGUUAUUAGGGAAGAACAUACGUGUAAGUAACUGUGCACGUCUUGACGGUACCUAAUCAGAAAGCCACGGCUAACUACGUG